GUGCAAAUUUGCAGCGUCCUGGAUGGAAAUGCCGGACUUCAAAGAGUGGCUGCAGCCAGUCGAGGGGAAUGUCAGGGAGGCAUAUUGUACAUUAUGCAAGGAAAAAAUAAGUAUUGUGUCAAUGGGCAUUAACUCGUUAAAGUCCCACGUGUGUUGUGCUAGCCACAAAGCCGCUGCUAGCCGCCGAGAGCGGCAGCUCUCCAUCGCUAGCUUCUGUGGUAAUCGCGUUGCACCACCACAACCUAGUGCCAACGUCGUUACACCACCGGCAGUCACACCUGAAGCUACAGCUAUGACCCGGGCUGUCUCUGCUUCCUCAUCUUCUGCAGCCGACAUCAGAGUGGCUCUGGGCGGCACAGCAACUGCGUGCUGAGGUGUUGUGGUGUCUCCACACAGCGGAGAAACACCAUUCACUGAACUCAAACGAAAACUUGGCUGAAGUUUUCAAGGCUAUGUUUCCAGAUUCGGAUAUAGCAAAGUCGUUCACUUGUGGCAAGGACAAAACUGGAUACAUCAUACGAUUCGGGUUAGCACCACACUUCAAGCAGGAGCUCAUCAACACCAUCAACAAGGCUGGCCAGUUUGUGUUAAUGUUUGACGAGUCGCUCAACCAGUCAACAAAAACAAAACAGCUUGAUGUCCACAUUCGAUUCUGGGAAGAUGACCGUGUCCAAUCUAGGUACCUUGGCUCUCAAUUCUUGGGACACGGAAAAGCUGUCGACCUGUUGCAUCACAUCAAAGAAUGUGUUGCAAAACUGAAUAUGAGGCAGCUUCUCUCCAUCAGUAUGGACGGCCCAAAUGUCAACUUGAAGCUUGCAGACCUCCUCCAGACUGAGCAUGCUGAGCUGUAUGGUGCUCAUCUGGUUAAUGUUGGAAGCUGUGGGCUUCACACCCUCCACAAUGCACUGAAGGCAGGCUUUACCAUGUGGCAGAUGGACAAGCUCCUUCGAGCACUCCACUACCUCUUUCAUAAUGUUCCAGCUAGGAGGGAAGAUUUUACUGUUUUGACUGGGUCCACCUCCUUUCCGCUACCAUUCUGUGGCCACAGGUGGAUUGAAAAUGUCCCCGUGGCAGAGAGGGCAGUUCAAGUGUGGCCAAUGGUCAUGAUGUACGUAGAUGCUGUUAAGCAGAAGAAGCUUCCAAACCCCAGUACUGCCUCUUACGACACCAUUGAGGCAGCACAAGCGGAUCCCCUCAUGAUUGCCAAGCUCCAGUUCUUCCUGGCAAUAUCCAGGACCUUUAGCCUCUUCCUGACCAACUAUCAAACUGAUGAGCCAGUUCUGCCCUUCUUUGCCAAAGAUUUGAAGUCUCCUGCGGCGGGUUGUAAAGCAAGAGCUCCUGCAAGAUGCCACUUCUCUGAGGGUGACCAAAAUUGACGUUGCUGAUGAAGUGAAUAGGGUAUCCUACAAGAAUGUUGACAUAGGACUGGGUGCUGAAUCUGCCAUCAAGGUGAUGUAAUCAUACAACAGUUCCAGAGCUUUCGCUCUCUUGAGGCGAGAGAUGAGAGAUUCUCCUCCUUCCAGCCACUGAAGGAGCGACUUGAUCUCUUCCUGCAUUCAGCCCUCAGCAAGUCUUAUCCAGAGCUAUAUAAGUUUUCUCAGAGCCUUCUACUUCUGUCCCACGGACAAGCCAUGGUGGAAAGAGGGUUUUCCAUCAACAAGGAGGUUGAAACAUGCAACAUCCUUCAAAAGUCGAUGGAAGCUUUGAGGCUGAUAUGUGAAAAGAUCAGUGUCUUUGGGGGUGUUUUGAAGGUACCUCUCACAAAGGAGCUCAUGGCUUCAGUAGCCUGUGCAAGGUCAAGGUACAGGAGUUACCUGGAAGAUGAACGGAAGAAGAAACAGAGUUCCACACAGGACCUCAAAAGAAAAGCAGUGCAAGAGGAGAUAGAAGACCUGAAAAGGAAACGAACGGUUCUGACAGAGGUGUGCGACUCCCUCCAAACAGAUGCUGAUAAGUUAGCCGAGCAGGCAGAGGGCAAAUCUGGGACAUUAAUGGCACAACUGAUCACGAAGUACAACAUCCUCAGAAGACGUAGUAAAGAAAAACGGAAUGAAUUAGUCCAAACUGAGAAGCUGCUGGGAACAAAAUCAAGUUUUGUUUUGUUUUUUAAUAAACUUUGAUUUACUAUCCCAGCCUAUUUGAUUAUUUUUUUUGUAUCAGAGCGGUCUAUAGUCUUUAUCACAAACUAAAACUGUUAAGUUAAAAGUAUCACUGAUGUAAAUGGUUACAGCUUGAAGUGGCGGUGAGGUAUUAAAAAAUAUUGAGAAGUUCUUGAAAAAGUCUUGAAAAGGUAUUCAAAUUAACUUCAAGAUUCCUGCAUAUACCCUGCUACUGCAACUGUCUUCAGUUCCUGCUUG